UACGUAGGUGGCAAGCGUUGUCCGGAAUUAUUGGGCGUAAAGCGCGCGCAGGUGGUUUCUUAAGUCUGAUGUGAAAGCCCAUGGCUCAACCGUGGAGGGUCAUUGGAAACUGGGGAACUUGAGUGCAGAAGAGGAAAGUGGAAUUCCAAGUGUAGCGGUGAAAUGCGUAGAGAUUUGGAGGAACACCAGUGGCGAAGGCGACUUUCUGGUCUGUAACUGACACUGAGGCGCGAAAGCGUGGGGAGCGAACAGG
rnacentral:rRNA from 1 species